ACUGUCCUUCGACUGAAAGAAAAGACUCCUUAGAUCUGCAAUACUCAAGAAGACAUCAUGCCUUGCGGAUGUGGCUCAACGUGCAAAUGUGGGUCUGGAACCUGCUGCUGUGGUACGACGUGCAAUUGCUCUGCCUGUCCCAGCAAGAAGAGCUGUGCCUGUCCGAAUGGCAGCUGCAGCGCUGAGUGCCAGUGCAAGAGUGCCGCAUGCUGUUGUGGGACGGAAUGCAAGUGCAACCCCUGUCCCAUGAAGUAGAGUGCGGUGCCACUCUGCGAUAGCGGGGGCGAGAAGGACGAUGGAGUGAAGAUCCAUUUUUUUUUUCUCUCUCUCUCCCUUUCUUUGUCUUUUCUUUUUAAUUUUGUUU